AUUUAGCGCCUCAGCCACGAUCCAUCCGGUCAGUGCAGUGGAGAGAAUGGGCUUGCCUCUCCCUCCCAUUAAUUAGUGCUUCAACUAACCUGUCGUGUCCUGCACUUCAGUUGCGAGUCUGACUGACUGAUUAGCAGCAGCGAUGGAGGUAAGCUUCGGGCUGCGAGUCUGUGAGAGAUCAUCCACACAGCUCCAGCCUCCUCCACUGACUAGCACUGACAGCUGAGUGCCUCAGCAGCCUCCGAGCUGCAGAUCGCUGGACACGGCUACACAAGCAUUGAAAAGCGCAGACCAAUACAAGUAACCGAUGAUGGCUUUGACGAAAUAGGAGAGAAUUGAGGUCAUUUUGAUGUCUGGAGAACAAAGUUUUUGUGUCAUAGCUGCACAUUUUAUCAGUUGGCACCCAGAAAGUCAGGUGCCUAAUUUCCAAAUUCCAAGAAACUGGGACUGUGGCUCACAAGUCACGGAGUGGUCGUCCAAAAAGUGCUACUGAAGAAACCUCCUCAACAAUGUCUUUGGCAUCCUUCGUGAAGAGCCCACAAUGCAGCACACGACGUUUGACAUCAAAAUGGAGAUUCAGGGACCCAAUCUCCAGCUCACAGACACAGAUGACUGUAAAAUCACAGGAGCUGGUUUGGAUUUUCUCUAUCUCCAAGAAUGUUCAUAUACGUGUAUGCAGCAGAAGCUGACAACCUAGUAUAUUAAUAUCCGUCUACUAAAAUAACGGAUAUUUCAGGAGUUCAGCAUAUUGGAUUGACCUGUGUAACUAUGGUAACCAUUGACGCUGACAAAUCGGACACUCUGAAGCUGUAAAUACGUCACCAAACACAAAAGCCGUCACUAUGGUAACGAACACAGUGAGAGUCACGGGCAGACUACGAGACGGCGGGAUGACGUAUAUAGCAACAUGUGACCCACGCCAUAGCGUAAUGACGUAUCAUCACGUGACUCAAGCCGGUCACAUGACCGGAGGACGAGAACUGCCUUUUGCUAUGCAAUGGGGAUUUGUGAAAAUGAUAUACGGGGGCGUGUUCCUUGAGUAUGUGACCGGACCUUGCAUGUCAAUCCCAUAUCUGAUUUGAGAUUAGGGGGAAGACGUCAGAGAGGGUUGUUCCUGGCACACGAGUGUCAAAGACUCUUAGUGAUAACUAUGUAUAGCGACCAGCUGUGCCGGGACCAAUCGGAAUAGAGGAAGGGAUUUUUAAACCGGAUUAGGAGACACAACUGGCAUUCUCAAAGGGAGCUGACCUUGAAAAAGACCCAGGCAGGGUCGGAACGCGUGGGUGCCCCGGUGGAUAUACUUGUGAAAGGAGGUCGUGGUACGAUCAAUGCCAAAGAAGGGAGGCGGUCGGACACCAGAGGAACUCUCCUGCUGCAGCUGGGAAGCCUGAUGUCCAUACGUCUGUUAAACUGUUAUGCCAGUUUUCAACCUGCAUUUGGUAAUUACCCAUUGCCUACCUGUUCAGGAUUUAGUCCACCAUUGAAUGCCAAUACAUCUAUUGCUGUCUAAACAUAGUGAUAGAAAGUGUUUUUUUUCAACUGACCACUAUUUUUAUUUCAAUUUUUAUUGAAUUGUUAUGUGAUUUUGUGAUAUUAAAUCUGUUUUUAUUAGAAGGUACUACACUAUGUUUCUUUAUAUUUUCUUUUUUUGGGGUACAUUGAGCCAAAAGAAGGAAAUUGCAUGAACACGAAUUUAUUGACCUCCUUGCAGCGCUGGUUCAGUGGUAUCCUAUAUGUCUGUGUGUGUCUAAUUGGAAGUGGAGAGUGGUGAAACUCCUUUUAGUUUACCCGGAUAGCAGCUGUGGUAGCGCACUGUCUUCCUUCUAUUUUUGUAUAAUACUGUAUAUAUACGUAGAGAAUGGGGAAAUACAAAACUUUACUGUCUAUAAUGCAUCUGAUGCAGUGGAGCAAUGUUUUUCAUAUGCGCAUGCGAUGCUUUGCACUAAUGAUGUUUAUACCAAUGUUUAAACGUGGGAGGGGUAUUUCCAAACUCAAAUUUAAAUUGCAGUGUAAAAAUAAAGUUUCCCAGCAUCUGUGGGCUACAGGCAGUCUUUGCUCUGUAUGCCAAGAAAAUAAAUGUAUUUGCUCCCCAUGCAGUGCAUCAUGGUUUAUUCCAAGUGUAAAGUUUUUUUGUUUUGCUCCCAACUCAGAAUCAGCCUCACUGUGUACUUAAAGUGAAUGUCACAGUAAUCUAAAGUCAAUAGUUAGGUAAAAUAAUAGACAUACACAACAAUAAACAAAUAUAUAUUACAGUAUACAAAAAUGGGCCAGAUUAGAAUGUGAAAAUCUACCAUGUCAGUAAAAAUGUACUGUAAUCUCACCAUUUCAAUCCCAGAAUUAAACUGUUAUUAUUAUUAUUAUUAUUAUUAUUAUUAUUAUUACUAUUGACUACUGAGGCGCCACAGUGUCUGCUGAUCAUGGAAAACAGGCCAUACAUAAGAUGCAAAGCAGAACAAAUAAAUGCAGAUAUGAAAGCAGAGGCUACAGAUGUCUACUCAACAUCAUUGCUGCAGUCGCGCCUCGUCCCGUGAGACUGCUAG